rnacentral:rRNA from 1 species
UCUUCCACAAUGGACGCAAGUCUGAUGGAGCAACGCCGCGUGAGUGAAGAAGGUUUUCGGAUCGUAAAGCUCUGUUGUUGGUGAAGAAGGAUAGAGGUAGUAACUGGCCUUUAUUUGACGGUAAUCAACCAGAAAGUCACGGCUAACUACGUGCCAGCAGCCGCGGUAAUACGUAGGUGGCAAGCGUUGUCCGGAUUUAUUAGGCGUAAAGCGAGCGCAGGCGGAAGAAUAAGUAUGAUGUGAAAACCCUCGGCGUAACCGAGGAAGUGCAUCGGAAGCUGUUUUUCUUGAGUGCAGAAGAAGAGAGUGGAACUCCAUGUGUAGCGGUGGAAUGCGUAGAUAUAUGGAAGAACACCAGUGGCGAAGGCGGCUCUCUGGUCUGCAACUGACGCUGAGGCUCGAAAGCAUGGGUAGCGAACAG